rnacentral:rRNA from 1 species
UACGAAGGGGGCUAGCGUUGCUCGGAAUCACUGGGCGUAAAGCGCACGUAGGCGGAUUGCUAAGUCAGGGGUGAAAUCCUGGAGCUCAACUCCAGAACUGCCUUUGAUACUGGCGACCUUGAGUCCGGGAGAGGUGAGUGGAACUGCGAGUGUAGAGGUGAAAUUCGUAGAUAUUCGGAAGAACACCAGUGGCGAAAGCGGCUCACUGGUCCGGUACUGACGCUGAGGUGCGAAAGCGUGGGGAGCAAACAGG